rnacentral:rRNA from 1 species
AACGAACGCUGGCGGCAGGCCUAACACAUGCAAGUCGAACGGGUGUAGCAAUACAUCAGUGGCGCACGGGUGAGUAACACGUGGGAACGUACCCUUCACUACGGAACAACGUCGGGAAACUGACGCUAAUACCGUAUAAUGUCUCCGGACCAAAGAUUUAUCGGUGAAGGAUCGGCCCGCGUCUGAUUAGCUAGUUGGUGAGGUAAUGGCUCACCAAGGCGACGAUCAGUAGCUGGUCUUAGAGGAUGAUCAGCCACACUGGGACUGAGACACGGCCCAGACUCCUACGGGAGGCAGCAGUGAGGAAUCUUGGACAAUGGGCGCAAGCCUGAUCCAGCCAUGCCGCGUGAGUGAUGAAGGCCUUAGGGUUGUAAAGCUCUUUUGCCGGGGAUGAUAAUGACCGUACCCGGAGAAUAAGCCACGGCUAAAUUCGUGCCAGCAGCCGCGGUAAAGUCUGUACU